UCACUCAUUCUUGAAUCAUGAAAAAUGAUAUACUUUGUUCAAUUGUAGUAACAAACAUAUAUACAUGAACAAAUACUACUAUUUCCCAGCUGCUAGCGCAGCAUGAAAUGCAAGGAACGGGGCAGAGAGUGGGAUUCACCUCCAAAUUGCAGGAAACGGGGAAGGGAGAGGCACUUCCUACUGUAGGGAAGGGAGGGUGCGUGCGUGUCCAGUUGCUCGUCGAUGAGCACCUACAGUGUCCUCACAAAUCCAGCCAGUAGCGAGCGCGGCCCGGCCGGCGGAUGGCUUGGAUCUGGUGCAGGGGAGGGAAAGGGAGCCGCCUGCUGCAGGGAAGGGAGGCCGCACUCGCAGGGAAGGGAUCGACGAUUAACUAUAAUGCCGAGAAAGGAUCAAGGCUGUGAAAUGAUAGGAGGAAGGGAAAAAACAUGCAUGCGCAAGAGGGAGAAGACAUCGUCACUAUCUACAAUGUGUAACAGGCGGAGGACUUUGUCUCAAUUUAACUUCAAGCACGAAGACCUCACAAGUGAAUUACGCAAGUUUUACCUUCCCCGUGGCUAUCCUAUGCCAUCUGAACUUUCUGAGGGCAUGCAUUUGGUGAAUACGUUUGAAGAGCAUUUUGAUGACUUGGAUGGCUACAAUGAAGAGCAUGCUGGGAUCAAAUUACUUGCUUCAAGCAUUUCUAAUUCAGUUGUCUCUCUUGCUUCAUUUAAGGGGAGUGUGAGGCUUUUUACAUGCACAGGUAUUAUUUUUGGAUACAUGCCAUCUGAAAUGAAUAUCCUAACUUCUGCUAGCUUGGUCAGAUGCCUUGGAGAUGAAGCUAAGUUUGUUGAUAAAUUGAAGAUUAAGGUGCGCCUGCCCAAUGACAAGUUAGUUGUAGGAAAGUUAUGGAAAUAUGAUUAUAAAUAUAAUAUUGCUGUUGUCAAGACCAAAUCUUUCCCGGAAUUUCAUGCAGCUCACGUUCAUAAUGGUGUUAAAUUUAAUUCUGAGCUAUUUCAAGCUAAUCUGGUAGCUAUUGGACGUUGCUAUGAAUCUGGAGAACUAAUGGCUUCAAGUGGGAGGGUGCUGUAUAAAACUAGCAGGCUUGAUUGCCAAGAACUUAUGAUCUCCACUUGUAAGAUCACAAAGGCUGGGAUUGGUGGUCCCUUAAUUGAUUCUAGUGGGAACUUCAUUGGCAUGAACUUUUAUGCUAAGGAUGAAACACCUUUCUUACCAGUCAGUAUACUUCUGAAAUGUUUGAAGCACUUUGAGAUAUUUGGGAGAGUUGUACAACCAUGGCUUGGCCUCAGGGUUGGAUCACUUCGGGCUGAAAAACUGAGUAUUUGUGAAGAAAUACGCAAGAGCUUUCCACAAGCACAUGGCAUUUAUGUGGAGAUGGUUUCUGAGGGAUCCCCAGCAGCAUGUUCUGGAAUCAAAGUUGGUGAUCUUAUUUCAACACUUGAUGGAAUUGCUCUGUCCAAUGCACAACAGACUUGGCUAAAGUAUAUCAAUUAUGGACAUAGAUGAAGGUCCAUGGCAGUGGCAGUGUAGAUCCUUAUGGAGGUGAGGACAUGCUGUACCAAAGUGGCUGGAUCUGCUCGAUUUAGCAAGUCUGCUUUUCAACCUGGUAGCUAAUCUGAUACCUUGCUAAUAAAAGAUUGCCAUUGUGUUCUUGUCAAUUUGUUGAUCGAGAGGGGAAGUCCAAGGUAUUUGCAUGGGAAGUCUUGGAGCUGACAUGGUAGAUGUGCUUGUACCACAGCCAGAUCACCUGCAGAACAUUGGAUUUGGAGGACGCAGGACAUUACUUUUCUGAAUUUCCAUGAGUUAAUUUUCGACAAGGCAGAGUGUGCUUUAAAACGUUCUGAAGGAAUCGUUUUCAAGGUGAAUGUUCUCAGGCCAAGUGAUUGUUCUGGUUUUAUUGCAACAAUUAAUGGUGAGGAGGUUGCUAUGAUCAAGCAAAACAGAUGGCCUGUACCUGAGGUCGAGUGGAUGUAUCCAAGCAAAAAUGACAAUUCAGAUUUUACUAUGUGGCAAGAUCUUGUGACUUACAGAUCUGUGCCUCUCUCUGAAUUAUAUGUGAAAAACCCUAGCGGGUAUGGACUCCACUAUGAAUGAGGAGCAGUCUUGUUUCUGUUUCCAGGCCACUGUUAUUAGAUAUAGUUUACAAUAUUUGUUGUCAGAUUCAUAUUUUGCAGGUGAGUUAGAAAGCGUAUUUGUACCCUUAUAAUGUCUCGACCGUUGCUAGAUGUAAGAUAAUGCAAAGCAGGAAAAUCUUAGAAGAUAUUAUGCAAGACUACUGUUUUUGUCUUGCUUAUUAUUGAACUUGCUAGCAUCGGAUUUGUUUAUGUACUAGAACGUUUAUCAUGAUCAAAACACAUGGAUAUACAAAGUGUAUUGAACGUA